GAACAGUGGCUCGGAGGGCGCAGGCUGCCCGGCCUCCGCCCCCUGCAAGCUGAGGGCUGUCCGCGCUGUCUUUCCGACGGCCCCACCCCCGGCUCUCUGAGCUCCGCGAGGUGAAGUCAUCUCCCGGGGGCUCGGGAGUGGCCGCGGGCCUCGCGGAGGUUCCCGGAUCUCGGCGUCGUUGCCGCGGUGUCCUUGUCUUUCUUUUGGGGACCAGGAGGGGGUUCUUGGGGGAAGGAGGGGAGAGCGGAGGCCGCCAUCUUGCUUCUAGAGGGUCAGCUCAUGUUCCCUGGGCGUCUCAGGGUUGAGGCCGCUCGUGUGGCGUGGCCGGGGGUAUUCAGAGCGGAGCUGGCGACGUGGCUUGUCACGGGCCAAAUCCCAGGAGGCGGGUCAGCCGCCUACCCUGGCUGGAGGGUCUCGUGGCUGCCCUGGGCCUCAUCUAACUGCUGAUCCCCUGGAGAAUUCGCUUUCUCGGACGGUCUGCGAGUUCUUUCUGAGGGGUGUCGGACCCCCCUGCGACUCUGCAGGUGUCGGUGUGGCACUGAGAUCAUCUUGCGGCCCCAUGGCACUGUGAUUUGGUAGCUUGUGAGAAGUAGUUUCACUAAAUCCGUAAAUUUAAGUUAGCAGCUACAGAUUCUUAUGUCUUGACAUUUAUUCGCUUAUCUCUCUUUGCUCCCCACAAAUUGAGUACCAACUAUAUUCCUGGUAUGAGCCAUUCAAGGAAUGUCCAGUCUAGUGGGCAGACAUACAUGAAAGCAAAUCAUUGCUAUUGGAAGUAUGGUUUAUCAAGAUGUACAGCGUGAAGAAUGGAUAGCUUUACUAACGUAGGUUAGAGUUUUAAAGAUAAAUAGGCAUUUUCUACUACAAAAAUAGGGGUGGGAUGGCAAAUCCGGAUCCGAACAGAAAGGAGAUGCAGCACGGGGACAAAUAAUUUGUUGAGAAGAAUGAGUAAUAAUUACAGGUCUUGAAGUUCAAACUUAGGUUGCUGAAGAAGAUGAGGCUGGAGAAGAAAACAGGAGCCAAAUCACGAAUCGUCUAUGCCUUGGUGAGGCAAUGAGUGGACAGAUUACAAUUUAAGCUAUUCUUCUGUUGGUAGAGAACAGAUAACUUGGGGGGGUGGAGGUGGGGGGGCAGAGAAGGAUAAGCAGAGAGCCCACAAGGGGGCCAUUGCAGAAGCCAGUAAGAGAAAACUUAAGGACCCUGUGUGAAUGGUAGUGAGCAUCCAAAGGAGAUGGAUUCCUAAAAUAUUCAAGAGGCCAUAUCAACUGGUAAUUGGUUGCUAGGGGCAGCUGCCAGAUAGGAGAAUGGAAGAGGCAAUGAUGAUGCCUUGUUUUGCUUUGAGGGAGGGGCAGGAUAAGGGUGUAUUUUACUAAAUAAGAUAAGGAAGAGUUAGGAUGAGUCCUGGGAGGGGACAUUUUUGCAGAAAAAAAAUGAGUUCAGUUUUGGAGUUGAUGAGUGAAGUAAGAGUGGUGCUGUCUAAUGGUGGUUGCUAUAUGGGUCUAGAGCUCUAGGGAGGAGCUGGGCUGAAGUUGGAAACACCACAGGUUUAGAUGACCAUAACCAAGCUGACUGCAGUCUUACGUCAUUGAGCACAGUUUCAAAACCACUUCUCCUUUCUCCCUGCCUUUACUUGGGAAAAUUACUGAAAUACUGCAUUAAAAAACCCAAUAUGGUGAUAUGUGUCCAUCCAUAGACCAAUAUUCUAAUGUUUAAUGGUCUUCUAAGGACCCUAAAGGUCAGGUUUAGCAGAAACUGGAUGUAACAGUGGUAACUAUUAAUAGUAUAGCAUCAUUAACUCAUAAAAUGAAAUAUUAUCUAUGUUUAUAUUUUAAUAUUUUAAUUUUUUUCUUUUUUAUUCUGUAGGAAUUGCUCCAUUCCAAUAAAAAUAUUUUAAAUUUAAUCAUUGACAACAGUUAAGCUGGCCAUAGGCUGAGGAUUGAGGAUGGUGGGUUGCACAAAUAUCUGCUGAAUGGAGAGCUAGAAGGAGGAUGACUUCAAGAAGAGUCAGCAAUAGGAACGCAAUGAAAGACAACCUCAAAUUCAUUAGUCAGCCUGUCUCAGCUGCUUUUUGGUGGCUCACAGCUAUGCUAACCUAGCAUAAAGCAGUGAGAAAUAGAAUACUUCAUUUUGAGCAGAGCUUCAGAAAACCACAAAUAGUAAAAGCCCUAUAAAUAAUAGCUACAGCUGCAAACCAAAGACUAAUUAUUAGUUUUUAACUCUAUAUCCCUGUAGAGCAGCAUUUUUGAACACACAAAAAAAGAGAAACGCGUUCACUUACGUCUUAGAUUAUUUAAAUACAGUAUUCUCAAUUUGUCUAGGAUAAAAAAGCAUUUAGGUGUAUUGAACAACCAUAUAAUGGAUAAUAUACUGAACAGGAAAUGAGAAUAAUUAGCUUGAGUCCCUUUUUUGUCAGUUGUUCACCGUAUGACCCUAGCAAUGUUACUUAACCUCUCUAUGCCCUAGUUUCUCUGACUGUAAAAUAGAGAUAAUAAUAACUUUCUAUCAGCCGCCUCUCAAAGAUAUUAUAGGAAAUAACAAAUUAAUGCUAUGAAAGCUCUUUGAGGUACUUGGAUGAAAGGGCAUAAUUGUAAGUACAUAUUAUUAGUAAUUAGCACUAAUAUCCAGUAGCACCCAUGAGCAUUCCUGACUUUGCUGCCUGGAUUACUCAAAGAACAUGAAGGAUCCUGUUUUGAAAUACACUUAGAUCUUUUUUCUUAACUUGUGAAUUGACUUUACUAUUUAUGAUCAAACCUUGUGUAUUAACAAAUAUAGUUAAUGAAAGAGGGAAGUAAAAAGAAGUUUUGGUAACCACAACUUUUAUAUUCAUGCUACUCAUAGCUAAUAUAUGCUUUGGGGGAAAAUACAGGGUAGAUAGGGAUUUGCCAGAAGCAUGUUUUAGAAUUAAUGAUUAGUCUACUCCAGUCAGUUAACUGGAAUUUUGUAUUAAAAACAUUAUUCAUGUCCCCAUAGAAUAAUGCAGUCCCUAUAGAAUUUAUAGACAGUUACAUGUUUGACACAAUUAAGUUGAACAUUCCUGUGAAACUCUGUCAUUCUCAUCACUGUUUAAUCACAAACAUGUAAUGAAAUAUAUAGACUUGUGAAGUUUUGUCCAAUGUCUAUCCCUAAAGUAGAUGAGAAUUUUUUCCAUUAAAUUGGUGACUUCAGUAUUUCCUUUAGAGAGGUGUAUGCAUAAUGUAAACAUUUAAAUGUAUUCAUGACUACAUAAUGUGCAUGUUUAUUUUUAUACACUUGCUUAUAUACCAAUUUAUAAAAUUAUCAUAUAAUGUAUAUUAACUAUACAUCUGGGAACAGCAAUGACAAACAAGGCUUCUUUGUGUUUUAGGGCCAGAUAAGAAAGUAAUUGGUUAAUAGCCAUUUGUCACCACUGGUGAAAAAUCAACUCAAAAUCAUGUUUUAUUAUUUAUUAGAGUUAUGAGCAUUAUCUAUAAGAUUCAUGACACCAUGACUUGGUGUGGUGGCUCACACCUGUAAUCCCAGCAUUUUGGGAGGCCGAGGCAUGUGGAUCGCUUGAAUACAGGAGUUAAAGACUAGCUUGGACAGCAUAGGGAGCCCUCAUCUCUAUUAAAAAAAAAAAUUAAAAAAAAACAACACUAGGCAGGCAUAGUGGCAUUCACCUGUGGUCCCAGUUACUCAGUAGGCUGAGGUGGAUCCCUUGAACCCAGGAGGUCGAGGCUACAGUGCCUGUGAUCAUUACACUGUACUGCAGCCUGGGCAACAAAAUGAAACCCUGUCUCAAAAAAGAAAAAAAAUUCCGUGACACCUUGACAUUUGUACUAUUUCAUUUUGUUUUCACAAUUUUGUGAGAUACAAAUUGUUGAAAGAAAUAGGCUCAGAGUGCUGAAAGACUAGCGCUCUGAGACUAGUUUUUAAAGACUUAAAAAUUCACUACAGUUGUCAAGUAACAUACCCAAACACACAUUUUGAGAUUCUCAAAAUAUAUUGUUUCUUUUAGUACUUUAUACCAGGGUCACCAGCUUGAUAUGACAGUCCAGAAUGUAUUUAUAAUAUGGACAUUUCUGGCUUAUUAUUGAUUGCCUGCAGCAUCUCCAAAAUUCAGCCAAACUUAACGUUUUUAAAACUGAAAACUACAAUUCUUAUGUUUAUGGCUGUAUCUUUACCAGCUUGAAGACAGGUACAUUGUUUUAUUCAUUUUUGUAUCCUUCAUGGUGCCCAAAAUAAGUACUCAGAAAAUAUUUUGGGGAUGAGUAAAAUGUAUAUUGUGAUGUUUAGUUGAAUUAGCGGGAAAAAAGCUGAUACAAUCACCUCAGAAACUUUUUUAGGAGGUCGUACACAUUUUCAGCACAUUCAUGUGAAGAUAGUUUAUUUGGGUUUGUACUUUAAAUUGGUGGAACCAUUGCCUCAAUUUCCCACUUCAUUUUUAAUGACGUCAUGCCUUGGAGAGAUAGGCUUAAGUAGGUGAUGCAGAUGACAGUCACCUGUAUGAUAUGCCUCUGGAUAUGUUUGUUGGGCUUAGAUAGUCCGGAUGACCCACAACAAAAGGGUCAUCUAGAAUAUCUAAACACAGCUUUAAUGAGAAUGUGUAAAGAGUGGGGUUAUGAGAGUUUGGGUCUUCAUAAUUCUCCCCUUCAUGCCGACGACCCUUGUGGACCACAUAUUUCUAUACUUUUCUGUCAAGGGAUUAGAGGAUAAGACUACUCUAUCAGUGGUUCCCAAAUGUGACUGCUUAUCACAAUCACCUGUGUAGUUUCAAAGGCAAUUCAGAUUCUCAAGUCCCACUCUAAACAGAAAAUAUUUAGAUUUAGGAUUAGAAAAUACUGGGUGAAGUCCAAGGCAUCUGUAACUGUAAUAACACUCUCCCUUGAAUUCCAAUGAUCAGUCAGGUUUGGGAAGUUCUGGUUUCAAUAACUUGUUCAAGGUCACACAGAACCCUAAAUAGAGCCAGAAACUAACUCAAAUCUUUUGAGUCCAAGUUAAAUAUAUUUUCAUUGGACUCCUGCUGUCCAUUUACUGACAAUAUAUGAUGGGGUAGGAUGAAGAGGUGGGGAGAAAAGUAGCAAUUUUAGUUUUUUCAUUUUUAUUUUUUACCAUAUUCUAUGACAUGGUUUUAAGAUUAAAUGAGCUAACAUCCAUAGAGUGCUUAGAACAGUAUCUGGCACAUGGUAAUUAGGUGUAACGGUUCAACGAAUAAGUCUCCAUUGUCCAGUCAUGGCAUUCACUUUGCCUGGGGUUACAUUAGGUAACAUUUUAUUGGAUAUCGACUUUUUCUAUGAAGAAAAAAAUGUAUGUAAAUAAAGGUGGAAUCUUUAGCCUUUAUUUGUCAUGGAAGCCCUGAAUUUGUAUAGCUGAAAAUAUUUCUAUAUUGUUUCUUUUCAUCUUUUCUGAUAUAUUAAGAAAAUGUUAAUGAUAUACUUAUUAAAUAAAAUUGUGGAUGUAUAGCUGUGUAGUAUUUUUAUAUUAUCUAAUUUAGCAUAUAAGAUAAGGUAUUUUACAUUGUCUUCCUAUCACUGAACUAGCUCCAAAAUUGAUUCUUA
rnacentral:lncRNA from 1 species